GACGAACGCUGGCGGCGUGCUUAACACAUGCAAGUCGAACGGAAAGGCCCUGCUUUUGUGGGGUGCUCGAGUGGCGAACGGGUGAGUAACACGUGAGUAACCUGCCCUUGACUUUGGGAUAACUUCAGGAAACUGGGGCUAAUACCGGAUAGGAGCUCCUGCGGCAUGGUGGGGGUUGGAAAGUUUCGGCGGUUGGGGAUGGACUCGCGGCUUAUCAGCUUGGUGGUGGGGUAGUGGCUUGCCAAGGCUUUGACGGGUAGCCGGCCUGGGAGGGUGACCGGCCACAUUGGGACUGAGAUACGGCCCAGACUCCUACGGGAGGCAGCAGUGGGGAAUAUUGCACAAUGGGCGGAAGCCUGAUGCAGCAACGCCGCGUGCGGGAUGACGGCCUUCGGGUUGUAAACCGCUUUCGCCUGUGACGAAGCGUGAGUGACGGUAAUGGGUAAAGAAGCACCGGCUAACUACGUG
rnacentral:rRNA from 1 species